GUGGCCUAGUAGUUAGAGCGUUCGCCUCGGAUGCGGGAGGUCGUUGAUUCGAUCCCCGACUCUGUCA